AUCUCUCAAUCAUGGAUCAUUUCGUUCUCUAUCCUCUGGGAGGAUUAUUGAUGGAUCACAUGCAGUUGAAAGGAUCACGAGUUACAUAUAGCAUAUAUACUACGUUUUCAAGAGAUCUUGAAUUUGUUAUGCCAAUUGAGUAAACUUUGAUUAUCAGGAAAUAAACCAACGAAUCAGUGUUGGACUUAUUUGAACUUUUAACAAUCCAUGUUAUAUGAUUGAUGGCUUAUCACAACAAAGUCUAUAAUUUUAG
rnacentral:sRNA from 1 species